rnacentral:rRNA from 1 species
UACGUAGGGGGGCAAGCGUUGUCCGGAAUCAUUGGGCGUAAAGCGCGUGUAGGCGGCUCGGUAAGUCUGCUGUGAAAGUCCAGGGCUCAACCCUGGGAUGCCGGUGGAUACUGUCGAGCUCGAGUCCGGAAGAGGCGAGUGGAAUUCCUGGUGUAGCGGUGAAAUGCGCAGAUAUCAGGAGGAACACCAAUGGCGAAGGCAGCUCGCUGGGACGUGACUGACGCUGAGACGCGAAAGCGUGGGGAGCAAACAGG